rnacentral:rRNA from 1 species
GAUGAACGCUGGCGGCAGGCCUAACACAUGCAAGUCGAACGGUAACAGGAAGCAGCUUGCUGCCUAGCUGACGAGUGGCGGACGGGUGAGUAAUGUCUGGGAAACUGCCUGAUGGAGGGGGAUAACUACUGGAAACGGUAGCUAAUACCGCAUAACGUCGCAAGACCAAAGAGGGGGACCUUCGGGCCUCUUGCCAUCGGAUGUGCCCAGAUGGGAUUAGCUAGUAGGUGGGGUAACGGCUCACCUAGGCGACGAUCCCUAGCUGGUCUGAGAGGAUGACCAGCCACACUGGAACUGAGACACGGUCCAGACUCCUACGGGAGGCAGCAGUGGGGAAUAUUGCACAAUGGGCGCAAGCCUGAUGCAGCCAUGCCGCGUGUAUGAAGAGGGCCUUCGGGUUGUAAAGUACUUUCAGCGGGGAGGAAGGGAGUAAAGUUAAUACCUUUGCUCAUUGACGUUACCCACAGAAGAAGCACCGGCUAACUCCGUGCCAGCAGCAGCCGCGG